AUUGAACGCUGGCGGCAGGCCUAACACAUGCAAGUCGAACGGUAACAGGAAGAAGCUUGCUUCUUUGCUGACGAGUGGCGGACGGGUGAGUCAUGUCUGUGAAACUGCCUGAUGGAGGGGGAUAACUACUGGAAACGGUAGCUAAUACCGCAUAACGUCGCAAGACCAAAGAGGGGGACCUUCGGGCCUCUUGCCAUCGGAUGUCCCCAGAUGGGGUUAGCUAGUAGGUGGGGUAACGGCUCACCUAGGCGACGGUCCCUAGCUGGUCUGAGAGGAUGACCAGACACUCUGGCACUGACACACGGUCCAGACUCAUGGGGGAGGCAGCAGUGGGAAAUAUUGCACUAUGGGCGAACGCCUGAUGCCGCCAUGCCGCGUGUAUGAAGAAGGCCUUCGGGUUGUAAAGUACUUUCAGCGGGGAGGAAGGGAGUAAAGUUAAUACCUAUGCUCAUUGACGUUACCCGCAGAAGACGCCCCGGCUAUCUCCG
rnacentral:rRNA from 1 species